UCGGGAUAAGCUUGGGAAACUGGGUCUAAUACCGGAUAGGAACCAUCUUUAGUGUGGUGGUUGGAAAGUUUUUUCGGUGUAGGAUGAGCUCGCGGCCUAUCAGCUUGUUGGUGGGGUAAUGGCCUACCAAGGCGGCGACGGGUAGCCGGCCUGAGAGGGUGUACGGCCACAUUGGGACUGAGAUACGGCCCAG
rnacentral:rRNA from 1 species